rnacentral:lncRNA from 1 species
UUUCUGCAAGACUUUUUAAAAGAAUGACUGGCAGCCGGUCGUCCGAGGUUCACUUUACUGAUACCUUAAUAAAAUUCUUUGCCGGACUUGGAACGGGAGUAUCUUGGUGAUGCGAGAUGGGCAGUCAGCACUCUGUGAAACAACUCUGCCCCAAAGGAGGUCUUACAAUUACAUCCUUGGCCCGCUUGUGUAUCUGAGAUACAGAGACAGCCUGGUUGGUUUUACGGUUCCUCGUAUCCAAGAUGUGGCAAAGGUCUGGGGGAGCUGAACUCUUUGCAUUUCAUUAUGCAGUGUCCUGGAGAAAGCAAAGCAGACAGCGUUAGAAAGUACAGCGGAAAGUCACGCAUGCCUGAGGUGUUUUCAAGAAACGAAAAGUAAUCUGUAGUCAAAAAUGGUCUGAUCAGCUG